GCCGGGUGCGGUGGCGCGUGCCUGUAAUCCAAGCUACUGGGAGGCUGAGGUUGGAGGAUCGUUUGAGCUCAGGAGCUCUGAGCUGCAGCAGGCUAUGUCGAUCGGGUGUCCGCACUAAGUUCGGCAUUGAUAUGGUGAUCCUGGGGGAGCCCGGGACCACCAGGUCGUCUAAGGAGGGGUGCACCGGCCCAGGUCGGAGAUGGAGCAGGUCAAAGCCCCCGUGUCGCUCAGUAGUGGGAUCGCGCCUGUGAAUAGAUGCUGUAGCGCAGCCUGAGCAAUACAGCGAGACCCAAUCUUUA
rnacentral:SRP_RNA from 1 species